GGAAGUUUCCAUAUAGCUCAGUGGUAGAGCAUCUGCCUUUCAUGCAGAAGGCCCCAGGUUCAAUCCACAGCAGUAUCUCCA